UACGUAGGUGGCAAGCGUUGUCCGGAAUCACUGGGCGUAAAGCGCGCGCAGGCGGCGAUCUACGUCUGGGGUGAAAGCCCGGAGCUCAACUCCGGGACUGCCUUGGAUACGGGAUCGCUUGAGAAUUGGAGAGGCAAGGGGAAUUCCACGUGUAGCGGUGAAAUGCGUAGAUAUGUGGAGGAACACCUGUGGCGAAGGCGGGUCUCUGGGCCGAUACUGACGCUGAGGAGCGAAAGCGUGGGGAGCGAACAGG
rnacentral:rRNA from 1 species